CUUCUUGGAUGAGUUGCGAACGGGUGAGUAACGCGUAGGUAACCUGCCUUGUAGCGGGGGAUAACUAUUGGAAACGAUAGCUAAUACCGCAUAACAAUGGAUGACACAUGUCAUUUAUUUGAAAGGGGCAAUUGCUCCACUACAAGAUGGACCUGCGUUGUAUUAGCUAGUAGGUGAGGUAAUGGCUCACCUAGGCGACGAUACAUAGCCGACCUGAGAGGGUGAUCGGCCACACUGGGACUGAGACACGGCCCAGACUCCUACGGGAGGCAGCAGUAGGGAAUCUUCGGCAAUGGGGGCAACCCUGACCGAGCAACGCCGCGUGAGUGAAGAAGGUUUUCGGAUCGUAAAGCUCUGUUGUAAGUCAAGAACGGGUGUGAGAGUGGAAAGUUCACACUGUGACGGUAGCUUACCAGAAAGGGACGGCUAACUACGUGCCAGCAGCCGCGGUAAUACGUAGGUCCCGAGCGUUGUCCGGAUUUAUUGGGCGUAAAGCGAGCGCAGGCGGUUUGAUAAGUCUGAAGUUAAAGGCUGUGGCUCAACCAUAGUUCGCUUUGGAAACUGUCAAACUUGAGUGCAGAAGGGGAGAGUGGAAUUCCAUGUGUAGCGGUGAAAUGCGUAGAUAUAUGGAGGAACACCGGUGGCGAAAGCGGCUCUCUGGUCUGUAACUGACGCUGAGGCUCGAAAGCGUGGGGAGCGAACAGGAUUAGAUACCCUGGUAGUCCACGCCGUAAACGAUGAGUGCUAGGUGUUGGAUCCUUUCCGGGAUUCAGUGCCGCAGCUAACGCAUUAAGCACUCCGCCUGGGGAGUACGACCGCAAGGUUGAAACUCAAAGGAAUUGACGGGGGCCCGCACAAGCGGUGGAGCAUGUGGUUUAAUUCGAAGCAACGCGAAGAACCUUACCAGGUCUUGACAUCCCGAUGCUAUUUCUAGAGAUAGAAAGUUACUUCGGUACAUCGGUGACAGGUGGUGCAUGGUUGUCGUCAGCUCGUGUCGUGAGAUGUUGGGUUAAGUCCCGCAACGAGCGCAACCCCUAUUGUUAGUUGCCAUCAUUCAGUUGGGCACUCUAGCGAGACUGCCGGUAAUAAACCGGAGGAAGGUGGGGAUGACGUCAAAUCAUCAUGCCCCUUAUGACCUGGGCUACACACGUGCUACAAUGGUUGGUACAACGAGUUGCGAGUCGGUGACGGCGAGCUAAUCUCUUAAAGCCAAUCUCAGUUCGGAUUGUAGGCUGCAACUCGCCUACAUGAAGUCGGAAUCGCUAGUAAUCGCGGAUCAGCACGCCGCGGUGAAUACGUUCCCGGGCCUUGUACACACCGCCCGUCACACCACGAGAGUUUGUAACACCCGAAGUCGGUGAGGU
rnacentral:rRNA from 1 species